rnacentral:rRNA from 1 species
UACGUAGGGGGCUAGCGUUGUCCGGAAUCAUUGGGCGUAAAGGGCGCGUAGGCGGCCAGAUAAGUCCGGUGUGAAAGUCAAAGGCUCAACCUUUGAAUGCCGCUGGAAACUGUCUGGCUAGAGUCCGGGAGGGGCGAGUGGAAUUCCUGGUGUAGCGGUGAAAUGCGCAGAUAUCAGGAGGAACACCGGUGGCGAAGGCGGGUCUCUGGGCCGAUACUGACGCUGAGGAGCGAAAGCGUGGGGAGCGAACAGG